rnacentral:lncRNA from 1 species
AUGCGGGUUAUGGACGAGGGGAGUGACUGCAGCAGCCCGGGGAGUUUUCCCAGGAUUACCGGGACUGUGGCUCUGGGGAAACAGCAGGUGGUGGCGUUGAAAAAACGGCCAGAGCCCGCGGCCGGAGCACCAGCGGAGCUGGAAGCCGCGGGGCAGUCCCCAGCCGCAGGAGUGGAUACAGCCGCCCCAGACGUGGAGCCGCCCGACGGCGAGGGGGCGACGGCCCCGCCAGGUGUGGAGGUACCAGAGCCAGGAGCCACACGAUCACCAGCGGCCGUGUGCAGAGAGCUGGCGGCGGCGCCUCCAGGCACCGAGCGAAGAACUGGGCUGUCGGCCAGGGCCUCGAAGCGGUUGGAAAGGCUCAGGCGAGGAGGAGAGGCAGUCGCAUCCUGGACUCUCUUUCUGUCACGGAUAACAACUUCAGACCAGGAUGACUGGAGGCUGGGUGUUGAGGAGGUGACAGGCCGUGGGCAGGUGGAGGUAUCCCAUGGAGCAGUAUCCUGGAGGGCCGCUUUGAGUUGGAUUAUGUGCAUGGAUUGUUCGUGGGCGAUGUCCAGACAGGAGGUCAGCAGGGCCUGUUUAUUCUGCAGCUCCUGCGAAAGUCGACGGAUGUCUUCUUUGAGCCACUGGUGGGCGUGGUCACGGAGGAUCCUGCCAAAGCAUCUGCAGCUCAUCAUCCUGCAAUCAACUUGCCUACAUAUACUCAGAACAACCUUCCAGACCCCGCCGGAUUGUUGAAUCAGUUCGUGUGAAAAACGCCAGCCAACUUUGAACUUACACUCGUGUUUAUUGCCUUGCUUAAUCCUGUUUUCCCUGUCUCACCUCAGACCACCAGUCCUGAGCCUGGACCCAGUCUGCCUGCCUGCACAGCCGACCUCGAGCCCUGGAGCCUGAAUGCCACCUCCACUCGCUGACGCCAUGAAAACACCUGUCACGCCAAUCUCAACUUGUUUUGUGCAACUCUCAAUAAAUUCUUUUGUGUUCUAAUGUCAACUCUAGUCUGCAAUUGAGUUCUGGUCCCCGGUCCUGGCAGGACCCAAGGUUUCCCAGCAGAACAUUGCCCAAAGCAUUACACUUCCUCCGUCAUCUUGCCUUCUUCCUGUAGUGCAUCCUGGUGCCAUGUGUCUCCCAGGUAAGCGACGCACACGCACCUGGCAAUCCACAUCAUUUUAAAAAAAAACGAAUACAUCAGACCAGGGCACCUUCUUCCAUUGCUCCGUAGUCUAGUUCUGAUGCUCAAGUUGACCACGUGUUGGAGCGGUCAACACGGGUACCAUAUACAACAUACUCUUUUCAAUCUGUAAUAAUCUUAUGUGAAAUGGGACACACUAGGAAGCUUAAAAAACUUAUUAAGAGGGGCCCAGGCACAAAGUAGAUACACGUAAUAACAAAAAUAAAAAUAACAGAAUACAUUUUCACAGCUCAGUGGGUAGAGCUGGUUGACUGGUGAUCAGAAGAUCACUGGUUCAAAUCCCAGCUCCCCAGGGCGGGACUGAGCUACAAGUCGAAGUAUCCUUGAGCAAGAUACUGAACCCCGAAGUUGCUCCUGAUGUGCAGUUGGCACCUUGUGAAGGCAGCCACUGCCAUCAGUAAGGGUCCUGCGAUGAGCUGGCGACUCGUCCAGGGUGAACCCUGGCCUACGCCCAUAGAGUAAGUCUGGAUUUGGCCCCAGUAAGCCCCGCAACCCCUUAGGGGGGAAAAAAAAAAGCGGCAACAUCCCGCGACCCUCAUGGAUAAGCGGAAAGAAAACGGGAACGGAACGGAACAUUUUCACAUAUAUACACUUACAUGUACAUAACACUCUCAACCAUACACACCCAAACAAGAGAUACCCUAACCUAAAGCUAAAUUUAACCUAAGCCCUACUAACAUGGUCCAAGUGGUCACAUCACCAACAGUCCAAGAAGAAUUAUACUACUUUUUUUUAUAUGUAAUGUUCAUUUGAAACUUUCAGCAACAGGUGCCUCUUUUUUUAUUUUUAAAAACAGGUAUAGAUGGGGACAUUUGCAUGUCUCUAUCAAGAUUGUUCCAUACCUGUGGACCUUUGCAAACAAUACUGAGUUUCCGAUUUUUACCCUUAAUAAGAUGCUUCUUCCUAGUCUGAUAGGAAUGCAGAGGAAAGGAAAUUGGAAUCAGGUCACAAAAUCUUUCAUUGAGCUUAUUAACAACACAAAACAUAGUACAAGCAUUAUGAAAAGUAUUAAGUUCAGUAAUUUUCAGGAGGCCAUAGCGAUGAAAAAGCAAGUCGGAAGGAGAAUCAAAUUUAGCCCAAGACAUAGCUCGAAUUAUUUUCUUUUGCAGAAUUGUCACCAUGACUGGUCUGCAGCUAUGCAGCUCCAUACGCAACAAACUGCGAUGCACUGUGUAUUCUGACACCUUACUCUCAGAACCAGCAUUAACUUCUUCAGCAAUUUGAGCAACAGUAGCUUGUCUGUUGGAUCAGACCACAGGGGCUAGCCUUUGCUCCCCACGUGCAUCAAUGAAACUUGAGCCAUGACCCUGUGACCUGUUCAACACUCUUCCAUCUUUGGACCACUUUUGAUAGAUACUGACCACUGCAGACCGGGACCACCCCACAAGAACUGUAGUUUUGGAGAUGAUCUGACCCAGUUGUCUAACCAUCACAAUUGGCCUUUGUUAAACUCGCUCAAAUUCUUACGCUUGCCCAUUUUUCCUGCUUCUAACACAUCAACUUGCUGUUUACUCACUGCCUAAUAUAUCUCACCCACUAACAGGUGCCAUGAUGAAGAGAUAAUCAGUGUUAUUCAUUAGAUUCAUUAGCUACUGUGCAAAACCCUCAAGCUUCUAGGCCACUGGUGGAGGACCCAAGCUUGGAUGAGGGAGGAGGAACACAAGACAGCCCACAGGGGCGAGUGGGCGAUUUCUUUACCUCUGUAUCUUUUGCUGGAUGGCCGCAGGGUGAGCAAAUGUUUACCUACACUUGUAAAGAACAAGUAUAUCAUCAUAGACUUGAGUUCCACUUACUUUUACAAGUCUAACGUGUGCAUCGCAGAAGCGAUUGAAAUGGGCCCAGAAAAGUCAUUUGGAAGAAGUUAAGAGGCCAUACAGCUUUCUAUAAUCACCUAAACUGAUCACUCUGUCUUGGAAUUGAGUCUACCCCUCAUAAUUUUGGUUGUUGUUAUAUUAUAGUACAGUUCCAAAUUCAGUUUUUUACCUUUUAUGAGAUGGAAUUAUUGAAUUGGCUGUCAUUUCCCUUCUUCAAGGGUGGUGCCCCCGAGGUUAUAUGAUGUAUGUCUAUAAUUAUCCUUGAUAAUAAUCAAUUAUUAUUGAUUGCCAAAUUCGACCAGAAUUUCCUAUUAAUGAUGCAUAAUGCCCCAACAAGCUCAUUUAAAAGAACUAGAAAAAAGAACAAAUAUACGUGACCUAGUUCAUUUUUUUGGGACUGUUCUUCAUAUUCAACAUUAUGAACAAUAAAUGUGACAUACUGCUUUCUAACUGUGUGAACUGAACUAGUUCUUCUGAAAUGGGAAUUUAUACAAGACUGGCAACAAGUGUUUAUUUGUGGAAAUACAUUCUAAUGAAGACCAUCAUCUUCCUUCGCCAUAGAUAAAUAGAUAGAGAUAUAUAGACUCUGUGUCUAAUGUCAUUACUGUACACAAGUUGUUUUUGUUGUGCUGUGUAUAGUGAGAAAGGCCUGAUAAAUGUGUAAAAAGCUACUGUAUGUAGAAAUGCUAAUCAAAGACAUUAUUAGCAGAGUACAUAUUUCUGUUCCGCAGACAUCCCUCCCUGACAUGAUGGUCAGAGAACGACAAUUACCACUUGGUGCUGGGCUAGAGAAAAAAAACUCUGAGCCUGGAGUUGGAAAGUGUGUGUGUGGUGAUGUCUCCAAGCCCGGAUGGUAAUUGUCAGGAUUUGGCAGGGCAAUCAGUUCCAUGCCACUGAGCUCCAUGUCUCGACAUGUUCUAUAGCAGCUCUCAGUGUACACACACACACACACACACACAUACACACACACACACACACACACACACACACACACACACACACACACACACAAACUAGAAGACUGACCCCAACACCUGUUCAUUGAUGUGAGACCGAAGUAAGAAUCCUGUUCCCCACUGCCUUGGCUCAGAGGCACAAAGGAACAACCUCCUAUACACACACACACACACACACACACACACACACACACACACACACACACACUACAUGUCAAGGCUGAAGAUCCUCUAUCCCCAAAUUGCUUGUGCAUUCAAGUUCAAUCUCAAUACAUACCAGUUGACCACACAAUGUAGACUCAGCAUCAGCUCAGCUCUUACUGACUCUGCAUCACACGCACAUCGAUGGCAUACAG